rnacentral:rRNA from 1 species
UCAUCUCCGGGGGUAGAGCACUGUUUCGGCAAGGGGGUCAUCCCGACUUACCAACCCGAUGCAAACUGCGAAUACCGGAGAAUGUUAUCACGGGAGACACACGGCGGGUGCUAACGUCCGUCGUGAAGAGGGAAACAACCCAGACCGCCAGCUAAGGUCCCAAAGUCAUGGUUAAGUGGGAAACGAUGUGGGAAGGCCCAGACAGCCAGGAUGUUGGCUUAGAAGCAGCCAUCAUUUAAAGAAAGCGUAAUAGCUCACUGGUCGAGUCGGCCUGCGCGGAAGAUGUAACGGGGCUAAACCAUGCACCGAAGCUGCGGCAGCGACNNNNNNNNNNNNNNNNNNNNNNNNNNNNNNNNNNNNNNNNNNNNNNNNNNNNNNNNAUGCUGGAGGUAUCAGAAGUGCGAAUGCUGACAUAAGUAACGAUAAAGCGGGUGAAAAGCCCGCUCGCCGGAAGACCAAGGGUUCCUGUCCAACGUUAAUCGGGGCAGGGUGAGUCGACCCCUAAGGCGAGGCCGAAAGGCGUAGUCGAUGGGAAACAGGUUAAUAUUCCUGUACUUGGUGUUACUGCGAAGGGGGGACGGAGAAGGCUAUGUUGGCCGGGCGACGGUUGUCCCGGUUUAAGCGUGUAGGCUGGUUUUCCAGGCAAAUCCGGAAAAUCAAGGCUGAGGCGUGAUGACGAGGCACUACGGUGCUGAAGCAACAAAUGCCCUGCUUCCAGGAAAAGCCUCUAAGCAUCAGGUAACAUCAAAUCGUACCCCAAACCGACACAGGUGGUCAGGUAGAGAAUACCAAGGCGCUUGAGAGAACUCGGGUGAAGGAACUAGGCAAAAUGGUGCCGUAACUUCGGGAGAAGGCACGCUGAUAUGUAGGUGAGGUCCCUCGCGGAUGGAGCUGAAAUCAGUCGAAGAUACCAGCUGGCUGCAACUGUUUAUUAAAAACACAGCACUGUGCAAACACGAAAGUGGACGUAUACGGUGUGACGCCUGCCCGGUGCCGGAAGGUUAAUUGAUGGGGUUAGCGGUAACGCGAAGCUCUUGAUCGAAGCCCCGGUAAACGGCGGCCGUAACUAUAACGGUCCUAAGGUAGCGAAAUUCCUUGUCGGGUAAGUUCCGACCUGCACGAAUGGCGUAAUGAUGGCCAGGCUGUCUCCACCCGAGACUCAGUGAAAUUGAACUCGCUGUGAAGAUGCAGUGUACCCGCGGCAAGACGGAAAGACCCCGUGAACCUUUACUAUAGCUUGACACUGAACAUUGAGCCUUGAUGUGUAGGAUAGGUGGGAGGCUUUGAAGUGUGGACGCCAGUCUGCAUGGAGCCGACCUUGAAAUACCACCCUUUAAUGUUUGAUGUUCUAACGUUGACCCGUAAUCCGGGUUGCGGACAGUGUCUGGUGGGUAGUUUGACUGGGGCGGUCUCCUCCUAAAGAGUAACGGAGGAGCACGAAGGUUGGCUAAUCCUGGUCGGACAUCAGGAGGUUAGUGCAAUGGCAUAAGCCAGCUUGACUGCGAGCGUGACGGCGCGAGCAGGUGCGAAAGCAGGUCAUAGUGAUCCGGUGGUUCUGAAUGGAAGGGCCAUCGCUCAACGGAUAAAAGGUACUCCGGGGAUAACAGGCUGAUACCGCCCAAGAGUUCAUAUCGACGGCGGUGUUUGGCACCUCGAUGUCGGCUCAUCACAUCCUGGGGCUGAAGUAGGUCCCAAGGGUAUGGCUGUUCGCCAUUUAAAGUGGUACGCGAGCUGGGUUUAGAACGUCGUGAGACAGUUCGGUCCCUAUCUGCCGUGGGCGCUGGAGAACUGAGGGGGGCUGCUCCUAGUACGAGAGGACCGGAGUGGA